UACGGGGGGGGCAAGCGUUGUUCGGAAUUACUGGGCGUAAAGGGCGCGUAGGCGGCCUGCUAAGUCGGGGGUGAAAGCCUGUGGCUCAACCACAGAAUUGCCUUCGAUACUGUUGGGCUUGAGUAUGGUAGAGGUUGGUGGAACUGCGAGUGUAGAGGUGAAAUUCGUAGAUAUUCGCAAGAACACCGGUGGCGAAGGCGGCCAACUGGACCAUUACUGACGCUGAGGCGCGAAAGCGUGGGGAGCAAACAGG
rnacentral:rRNA from 1 species